AAUCUCCAAAGGAGUCCCUUUACAUCAGACCACGAAAAGAUUAGUUGAAAAGAACCGAAAUAAGGAUACUAAUUGAAUUUAUUUAAUUGACUAUAUAAUCUUCUCCUUUUUUAUAUUUAGAAGGAUAGUCCUAGUUUCAACACGUACUGGAUUUAUGACUUGGGGUGAGACAUACCAUUAAGGACUUUUCCCCCCAUGAAAAUGGCAUAUAAAACUUUCUAUCAGUGAGUGCCCUGGAAUCCAGUGAUGCCAUUACACAACUGAGAAUAUAAUGUGUCUACUCUUCUGUCAAGCUUUGCAUCUUUUCCUUUUGGACGGAAUCCUUUCUGCACUGUUAGUCCUUCCAUGUGAUUUGAGUGAGACUGACCCUGCCUACCAACCCAGGGGUGGCCAACCAGAGUACUCUAUUUCCUGGCUACAAUGAUUGACUUAGUGAGGAGUCUGUGAUCCCAGAAGGUCUGCUGGAGUUUGCUGGAGGUCCACUCCAGAUCCUGUUUUCCUGGGUAUCACCAGCAGAGUCUUCAGAACAGCCAAGAUUGUUGCCUGUUCUUUCCUCUGGAAGCUUCGUCCCAGAGGUGCACCUGCCAGAUGCCAGCCAGAGCUCACCUG
rnacentral:lncRNA from 1 species